rnacentral:rRNA from 1 species
UAACGUGGACCCGUGAUCCGGGUUGCGGACAGUGUCUGGUGGGUAGUUUGACUGGGGCGGUCUCCUCCUAAAGAGUAACGGAGGAGCACGAAGGUUGGCUAAUCCUGGUCGGACAUCAGGAGGUUAGUGCAAUGGCAUAAGCCAGCUUGACUGCGAGCGUGACGGCGCGAGCAGGUGCGAAAGCAGGUCAUAGUGAUCCGGUGGUUCUGAAUGGAAGGGCCAUCGCUCAACGGAUAAAAGGUACUCCGGGGAUAACAGGCUGAUACCGCCCAAGAGUUCAUAUCGACGGCGGUGUUUGGCACCUCGAUGUCGGCUCAUCACAUCCUGGGGCUGAAGUAGGUCCCAAGGGUAUGGCUGUUCGCCAUUUAAAGUGGUACGCGAGCUGGGUUUAGAACGUCGUGAGACAGUUCGGUCCCUAUCUGCCGUGGGCGCUGGAGAACUGAGGGGGGCUGCUCCUAGUACGAGAGGACCGGAGUGGACGCAUCACUGGUGUUCGGGUUGUCAUGCCAAUGGCACUGCCCGGUAGCUAAAUGCGGAAGAGAUAAGUGCUGAAAGCAUCUAAGCACGAAACUUGCCCCGAGAUGAGUUCUCCCUGACUCCUUGAGAGUCCUGAAGGAACGUUGAAGACGACGACGUUGAUAGGCCGGGUGUGUAAGCGCAGCGAUGCGUUGAGCUAACCGGUACUAAUGAACCGUGAGGCUUAACCUU